rnacentral:rRNA from 1 species
CCUACGGGUGGCAGCAGUGGGGAAUAUUGGGCAAUGGGCGCAAGCCUGACCCAGCAACGCCGCGUGAAGGAAGAAGGCUUUCUGGUUGUACACUUCUUUUCUCAGGGACGAAGAAAGUGACGGUACCUGAGUAAUAAGCCACGGCUAACUACGUGCCAGCAGCCGCGGUAAUACGUAGGUGGCAAGCGUUAUCCGGAUUUAUUGGGUGUAAAGGGCGUGUAGGCGGGAGCGCAAGUCAGAUGUGAAAACUCAGGGCUCAACCCUGAUCCUGCAUGUGAAACUGGGUUUCUUGAGUGCUGGAGAGGCAAUCGGAAUUCGGGGUGUAGCGGUGAAAUGCGUAGAUAUAAGGAGGAACACCAGUGGCGAAGGCGGAUUGCUGGACAGUAACUGACGCUGAGGCGCGAAAGCGUGGGGAGCAAACAGGAUUAGAUACCCCAGUAGUC